UGUUUUGUUUAUUUUUAUGUAUAGUAGAUCGUAAUAAAUAAUUCGGGAUCAGUGUAAAGAAUCAUUAUAAGUUGAAUUAAAGAAUAUACAGAACACUACUAUUUUGGAAUUUUAGAAAACUUUUUAAAGUGCAUUAAUAGACAUAAGUUGAACAUUCUUGUGGAAUCAGGGUUGGUAAUCAAAGAAAUCUCAAAAUGAAAAAAAGUAAUGCAUUUCCGGAGAAUGAUGAAAAUAUUUUAUUCAACCAAGUGUUCAAAUUAAAGCUUAGUGAUAGCGUCGGAGUUGAUUGGAGAACUCUUGGACGUUGGUUAAAAAUUAAAGACAACAUUUUAGAAAUGAUAGAUCAUGAAUAUAAUAAAACUAGUGAAAAAGGAUAUUCUAUGUUAAGUAAAUGGAUGCAAAUGAAUAAAGAACCAACACUUAGAAUGUUAAAAAAAGCUUUACAAAACAUGAAGCGAAUGGAUCUAAUAAGAGAAAUAGAUAUAAUAGCAAAUUCUUCAAAUCCACCUGAUAUUGCUAUUGAAGUCAAUAAAGAUAUAUCAGAGAUAUGCACAGCACUCAAAAAUUAUUAUCUUGUACACUAUGGAAAAAUAAAUGAAGUUCAACCGCUGUUAAAAGCUCCUGCAAAUGUUGAUCUAAAUCAGAAAUUUGUUGAUCUAUGUAUUGUUGAUGCAGUGAAUGUUCAAAAAGAUGCUGUUUUUAAUGAUGAAUUUAAGGGUUUUCUUCAGAAGCAAAUGAGUUAUACAUCAAUUCCAUAUGAUGAAAUAUUUCUGAAAGAAGAAUCUGUAAUUUUUAUAUCUGGAAUAGCUGGUAUUGAAAAAACUUGGUUGCUUAGAAAAUUUUUGCUUGAUUGGUCAAAUAAUUUAGUUUGGAAAAAUGUUGAUCUUGUUUUUUAUUUGGAAUGUAGAAUGCUAAAUCAACAUCAUAAUAUUUCGAAUAUUAAUGAACUGUUAAAUAUUUUCUAUAAAGAUAUUAUAAAUGGUUAUAAUUUCAGUAGUUAUGCUACACUGUUUAUAAUUGAUGGGUUAGAUGAAUUUAAAUAUUUAAAUGAGUUAAUAAGUCAAAAUUCGAGGUGUAACAAUCCAAUUGUUAAUGCUUUAGCAGAAAUUCAAAAGUUUAAACAUGUGAUUUCUGGUAGAGUUAACGCAGUUGAUCAAUAUCAAAGUAUAUAUACAGAGCAGAGUGAUAAACUAACAAUUCAAAUUAUGGGGUUUAAUGAAAAUGGGAUAAGGAAUUAUAUUGAAAAUAAUGUUUUAGAAGAAAAAAAACAACCUGUAAAAACAACUUUAAAGGAAUUUCCAAUUGCAAAGGCUAUGGCGUCUAUUCCAUUUUUUUUAUCUUCCAUGUGUAAAAUUAUUAGUGAUUCGAAAAUGCGUACAAAUUGCUUUUUAACUAUGACAGAUUUGUUUGCAAAUAUUUUUUUAUACUUUUUGCAAAAACACAUUAUCAAAAAUAAUAAGUUGAUAUACGAGAUAAUGGAAGAUCCUAUUUAUAAAAAAAGGAUUUUAAAUAUUUGUAAAAUUGCUUAUGAAUUGUUUGUUAAAAAUAAAGUAGUUUUUUCAAAAGAAGAAAUUCGAACCUAUGUCAGUGGCAGUGAUUGGACCAAUGAUAGUCUUUUUGGAUUUAUUGAAAAGGUUGAAACAAAUCUGGGCUAUUAUUUUCAGUUCUCGCAUUUGACUAUAAUGGAGUUUUGUGCCUCUGUAUAUGCAUAUAAUUGUUUAAGCAUCGAAGAUAUUAUGGCCAGCAAAAUGUUAAGAAGUUGUUUACCAAUGAUUUGUGGAUUAGCCAAUAAAGACCAAAAUAGUUUAUCAAAAUUUCUUGUUAAUCUAAAUUCUUCAAAAGAAUCUUUUUCUAUUUUUGGAAACGUCUUCUCUAAGAAAAGAGUGAUUCGUUGUUCUGGAAUUAUAAGUAUAUUAGAGAGCGGGAAGUGUUUAUAGACCAAUUUUAAAAACGCAUUUCAUACGUUGAACGAAAUUAUAUUUCUAUUUCUGUUUUUAAUAAUAAAACAAAUUCUACUGAUUAACAAAUUUGGAAUAAUGCAAGCUAAAUCCUUAAACGUUCGGUUGAUGAUUAUCAGUAACAAAUCCUCAAAGUUUAAAAUCAGAUGAAUGCAUAAAUACGUAGCAUAUAAUAUUUUCUAAGUAAUAGUGAUGAUUUUAAAGAUAAAGAAAAUUUAAUCAUUGAAUGCUUUUAUGAAAGUCAAUCGUUAUUUAAUGAUGAAAUAAAAUCUUUCGUUUAUAAACAAAUGAACAAUUUGAGGAUUUCUAUUAACG
rnacentral:misc_RNA from 1 species